UCUUAUGUACAUGCCUACAACGUUAAUGCACCUGAUCCCAUCAAAACUCCGCUGUUAAGCAUGCUUGGGCUAGAGUAGUACAAGGAUGGGUGACCUUCCAUGAAGUCCUAUUGUUUUACAUGCC
rnacentral:rRNA from 1 species